GUAUAUGGCCAUAUAUCCUGAAUGUACCUACUCUCAUCUGAUAUCAGAAGCUAAGCAAGGUCAGGCCUGGUUAGUACUUGGAUUACAGAAUUUGGUCUUAUUCC
rnacentral:rRNA from 1 species